GCAGGAUGAGGGACGGAGAGGUGCGCGCGGACAGAACGCACCUACCAGGCCGCUCGCUGGAGGCGAUCCGCAAUGCUUCAUCUCCGCAACGAAGAGGGAUGUGACGAGGCAUCUGAGCAGGACGGCAGUGUGUGUGUGUGUGUGUGUGUGUGUGUGUGUGUGUGUGUGUGUGUGUGUGUGUGUGUGUGUGUGUGUGUGUGUGUGUGUGUGUGUGUGGCGGGACGAGGGGCGCGCGGCUGCUCUGCUCUCGCUCAACCGUGGAUCGAAGACGAUCCCUGCUCGCUGUCUUUAUUUCAACCUGCGCGGAACUCUCCCCCGGGGGGGACGACUGGUCUUCGCCAUGAGUGCUUUUUCAGCCAACUUGUUCGCCCUCCUUUUCCUGUGCGCCCUCGCGAGUGUUUUCUACGUCUGGAGCGUGCUGGAGAACCGUUUGGAGCGACACAAGCGCGGGCUCCCGGUGCCGGGCGCAGGCUCCUCUCGCCGGGCUCCGCCGGAGGACCUCUCCGCCAAAACUUUCCGAGCACUGCUCGCGGUCCCGGCGGCACAGAGACCGCACUCGUGGGGCAGACUCGAAGCCCCCAACCUCAUCGAUCAAACCGCGAGGGGUUACCAUGUGAAUGGGGACGACAGGAGGUCAGCGCCGCGGGAGGGCGCGGUCGAGUUGGGCUCCCCGGUGGAGGAUGGGAUCUUUUGGAGCGACUGGCUGGAGGAUCUCCUCCCCGCGGGCUUCACGGAGGAACAUGCUCGGGCUUGGAGGGAGAGAGCCAGGACGCAUCGAAUCGUGAAGCUGGAGCCGGGAUGCGGCCGGGUGUCGAACCAGCUCGCCACUUUCGCGGACGGCACCAAAGCGUGCGUGCGCUACGGGAUUAACGCGGAUCAGGUGCAGGGCGAAACUUUGACGUAUUACGUGGCCAGUUUGCUGGGCAUCGCCAACCUGCCCCCCCUGGCGCUCUCCCAGCUGAGCGGUGACAGCGACCAGUGGGCGGCCGUGAGGACGCGCAUCGGUCAGUGGGGCGAUCGCGCCGUGGUGUCUUUUACCGAGUGGAUCUCCAACCUGACCGGGGUGAUCACGCCGGCGCCGCUCAGGCAGGAGAGCGGCGGGCUGCAUCCCGCGCUCGGGGAGCUCCGGAACAAGACGGCGGCGCAGCUGCUGGAGCUGAUGCAGUGGAGCGACCUGAUCGCCUUCGACUACCUGACCGCGAACUUCGACCGGCUCGUGAGCAAUCUGUUCAGCCUGCAGUGGGAUUCGCGCGUAAUGGAGAGGGACACCAACAACCUCCUGCGGACGCCGCGCGGGGACCUCGUGUUCAUUGACAACGAGGCCGGGCUCGUGCACGGCUUUCGGGUGUUGAACAUGUGGGAGAAAUACCACAACACGGUGCUGAGCUCCAUGUGCGUGUUCAGAAAAAGGACCACGCAGCGCGUGUCUGAGCUGCACAGGCGCAGAGACACCGGGACGAGGCUGCGGGACCUCUACAGAGACAGCGAGCCUUUGUCUCUGGAAUUGGGAUUUCUCUCGGACGAGCACGCCGGGGUUCUGCAGGACAGGAUAGACCGAUUAUACCAACACAUUUUGCAUUGCAAAGAAAAAUACGGCCAGCUGUGAACAUUCAGCAUGCGCAGGUGAUGGAUUUGUUGGUUUUAAAGAGCUGCGCAUGACGCGGGUGGCACACCUGUGCCGGACGGAUGCGCGUUACGCUAAACGGCCAUGGACACCCAGCUGAACUACCUCUUGUAAAUAGAAUGCGACGCUUACUUUAGAAGCUGGGUGAAACACGUUGCCAGAAGUAAAAGUGGUAAAACAAAAGGUAAGUAAAAGCCGUAGAUUCAGCGUGAGCCCUUUCCAUCCAUAGCAUGUCUUAAAAUUUGGGUUUGUUUAUGUGCUGCAUUUAGGCAUUAGGCUUUUAUUUUGUAAAAGCUUUUAUUUUGAAAUGGUUUCAUGCCUUAGGAGUUCCGGGAGCUAGUUUCCUGUUAGUGGUUAGAGAAAGAUGGUAGAAUUAGCCAACAUGCUUUCGUCAUCCAUGGCAAUCCACAUAUUGCCAUGGAUGACGUGCCAUGGAUCAUUUCAUUGUUUUAAUUGUAAUGUAUAAGUUAAGAUGCAUAUUUACAGUAAAAGGGGAUUUGAUGACUGUAAUUAAAAACGUUUUAUUCACAUAUGUUUACGUAGGACUAAACAAUUUUGUACCUUGUGCUUCUUACAGUUUUCAUUUUCUGUCUGUGACAUGAUAUAAAGAGCCACAGUAAACAGCUUGAGAAGCUACUACGACUCAACUCUCAUUUGGAGGAAGAGUUUAACUAGUUGAAUAGCUGCGGUUGCUACACUGUAGCGAAGACAACAUAGUUUAUCAAAUUGAGGUUUACCCAAGCGUAACAUUAGCUCCCUUGUAAAGACUGUGCUGUGUUCAAAUGAUUUCCCUUACUUUCUCCACCUCACUUCUCCUGAAACGUCACACAGGAUCUUGAUUGACACGCUUGAUGGGCUUUGAUAUUCCUCCGGGUGAUGCCUGUUGAUGCCUCCGUGCAGCCCGGGGACCUGCUUCAAGUACACGCCGUUUUGCUCGUUUGCAUCUGGAUUCAUCUCUAUGCAAAUGUGAAUUAGUAUGCUGGGUUUUUUCUGUCUUACGCUGGUUUUGCCGUAUCCGGCAGAUAUUGUUGACCAUUUGUUCUCAUGGCCAUUAGCAACCAGUUAAGCCUGUGGCCGUAAUUACGAUAGUUCUAUGCAAUUGUUGCGAUGGGAGGAUAUAAAUCAGCCCCGGUGCUGAACAAAGAGUUCAUUGGUCCAAAUGACAUUGCGUGACAUUGCGGGGGACGAGGGGGAGGAGGGAGAGCGGAUACUUUUUUAUAAUUCUGUAAAGCUGUGUGACAAAAGCACUCAGCAAACUCUUACACUUGCAUUUAUUUUUAUUUAAUCUCACUCUAACUCAACAUCGUGAAAAUAGCUGAUUAUAUAUUUUCAUCACUAGAGUUUUCCUUUUUUCGCAGCGUGCUUUGACCGUGUCAUGCGGGCUUUGUCCUUUCCCCUGCCCGAAGUGCAGAGUGAAUCGAUGCGCAGAAGGGUGCGAGGACGCCAGAUACUUGAUGACAAAAUGCCUACAAGCUGCUGAAACAGCACAUUCCUUCCUGCUAGCUGACCUUUGGCCCCCUCAAUGUUAGUGUUGACUCUAAGCAAUGCCUGUCGCAGACCCGCGCAUGGUCACUGUAGUCGUUUUGAAAUAUAGCACCGCCGGCUGCGUUGGUGUUCAGUAAUUUGGUCAUUUCUAUGUAAAUUGUUGUACCAAACAAACGCUCCGGCUUGCCUCGUUCAGUUAUGGUACCCUGUUCCACUGAAAUGGUGAGAGCCAAGUGAGAAAAUGUCAGGACAGUCAAUCAGUUAAGUAGCAGGGUCAACAGGAGUGUAGAUACAGAAGAGAAGGGCACUCAGGCAUGCAGCGACAAAGACAGGCAGAAGAGCCCGGCAGUCGUUUUGGGUGGUGUCCUGGUGCCGGCCGCCCUCUUUAGAGAAGGGAAGAGAGGAGCUCUCUGCAGACACACAUUAGGGGGUUUAUGACUAAUUCUGCAGUAUCACUGUGAUUUGAACAAGAUUGGACACGCCUUAGUGAAGGUGAGAUGGGACUAUCGAAUACGGGAGACAGCGGACUGAGGCAAUAUAUAACAAAGGAGGCACAUUUUCACACACGUCACAAAGGAAAUAGGCUUCUCGGACUCCGUUGCUAUUGUACUCUAGAAUUGUAAGUGUAGUUUAGUCUGAAGAGGUGUGUCUUAAGUUCGGGUUAGGACGUCGGGUUCUACCAUGUCCUGCAUGUAGACUGGACCCGAGCCAUUCACAGCACUGGUAGCCAGUGAAGAGAGCGGAGGAGCGGAGUGGUGUUGGAGAAUUUAGGAAGGUUAAAGACCGGUCGCGCUGCUGCCUUCUGGAUAAGCUGCAGAGGUGGAAUGGCUGUGGCAGCGACACCACUUAAGGUACGGAUGUUGGCAGCAUUGCAUUAUCGCAAAAGAUGCUCUGCGUUUGGACUAAGUUUAAAUAAAAGUGCUAAACCAAAUGGUCUGUACUUGUAAAGAGCUUUGUUAGUCGUCUGACCACUCAAAGUGAUUUAACACUUCAUGACAUCAUUCACCCAUUCAUACCCAUUCAAAGGAGCUACCAUACACAGUGCCACCUGCCCAUCAGGAACUAGCAUUCACACACUGUAGUCACAGCUACAGGAGCAACGUUGGGGUUAAGUGUCUUGCUCGAGGACACAUCGAACACGCGGGUCAGCAGGGCCUGGGAUCAAACCGCCAACUCUCUGCUCGGAGGAUAACCGGGCUCUCCGCUCACCCACAAUUGCUCCCAAGAGCACAUUUAAAAAAAAGAAGAAGAAAAACGAAAAUGAUGGAAAGAUAACGAAAAGUGAAACCCUAAGCCAAAAAACAAAAGUCACGCCAUUCGUGUUUGUGCGGAGUUGGCCAGGUGAGACAGCGGACACGGCUACCCAUGUGCCAUUCAGCGAAAUUGAAUCCAGUCAUGCUACUUUUCCUGUAUUUUACAAUAUAAUAUAAUCACAUGCCAAGAGAUUGCCUGUAACCACCUGUAACCGAACCCAUCUCAAAUCAGGAAGUCCGAGACAGCCGUCACAACCACUGCAGGGUAGGGCGUUGAAAGGGGAAACAACGCAGGGGGUAGCGGUUGACCUCCUUCCCCGUUGAGUGCUUACUCAAGCUGCAAACCUUUGUGUUUUAACUGUAUACUUUGCACAACACAUCCUUUGGCAACACCACUAAAGACGAGCCUAUAACAGACGAGGCAGCGGUUGGAGGAAAUUCAGAGGUGUCAGCAAGAUUCAACAAAAGAAAAACACAUUUUGUGGCUGCCGUCCCUGUCCUGUCCACUUGUUCUAUAUCUAUUACUUUAAAUCUUUUUUGGCCCGUGCAAAUGUUGCCAUUAUGAGAUGCUGGAAGCGUUGAUUGAUGGUGGGACGGGACUAAUCAUCUGGGCUGGUUACGAAGACAUCUUCCACAAAAUCAAUCCUACUGAGAGGGAAACUAAAUCUUUUUGGGUCCCACAGUGCUCGGUAAUAAAGUACUGUCUACCAUAAAUGGAAUAUCUGGUGUAUUCUCUCAUUUUGUCUCAUUCCAUUUCUUCAAUUUUGAACUAGCUUAUUUAUUCUAUAUCAUUUAUCCUUUCAAAUAAAAAUAAAAGUGGGUUUAUUGGACUCUUGGGGGUUUGGAACAUAUCAUUGUAUUGUACAUAUCAUUGUAUGACCAGAUAUAAAGUUUGAAGUUUGCCUUCCUUCCGGUCACAUGAUACAGCCUUUUCACAUUUUUCCAUUUUCAAAGGUGUCUCUUCAAGGACUGACUGCACGCUUAAAAAAAAAAAAGUUAUUGCCACUGCAUAAAAUAAUCGUUUUAAAUGCCAACUCCUUCUGCUAAAUCACAAUUUGUCUCUGUGACUUUGCAUUUGCAGAAGGUCACGGAAAAACGUCUGUGGACGUUUGCAACACGCAGGGCUUCUGCCUCUUAACAAUGCAACAUAGCUUCACAGAGGAGAUUACGCAUAGUGCAAACGGCAUGGGAGAGAACGACCACAGCGAUUACAGCGAUAUACAAUUUUCUCCACUUUACGCUGCACUGCUUGUGGAUUCAGCGCGCACAUUUACAAAAAAGGGAUACAGAAGUGUUUCUUUCGCCGUGUCUUUAAAUGUUCAAAACGUCUCUUUUACGUCUUUUUUUCAUUCCCUCCGCCCUCUCUCUUUCUAAUAUACACUCAUUAAGAUUUUCCCCUUCAAGUUGCCCAGCUUGGCUCAUUGUCGGGGUGGAAAGCUGAUGUAACUCGUGGCUCCUAUUCCCAGUAACCAGGGCGAUCCGAAAGGGCCCAGUCCUCCCACCACUUAAUCAGACCACUGUUUGUUCGCUCUCCCUUUUCUCAUGACCAGGGCUGCCAACCACAAACCAGCCAGGCAUUAAUGAAAAGCCAAAACGACCUCUUUAUCUUCCCUCACACGGGAGCUUCAGAUGAAUUCAGGAAAAAAAACAGGUAAAUUUCACCAUUUCUGAAAACGUACAUACAUAUUUAUACGCUGGUCCCGUUUUGUUUUCACACGAGCCCUCGCGUUGUUUUCCAUACCGUACCUUUGCAUCCUCUCUAACCUGCUUGGUUUUUGACAUUGCAGAGAGCUGCAAAAGCCUGAUGCUAGACAUGUGUUUGUGUGUGUGUGUGUGUUUUAAAUGUUGUGUUGGCCCUCAAGUGACACAGUGAGGGUAUAAAUAGGCCCACAGAUCACUGUGCCAGACAGAAUGUGGCAUCUGCUGUGCUGGGAGUGAAAUGUGUUUGAGAGCCUCUAAACUCCUCUCCAUUCCUCUUUCCUCCCAUCCUGGUCUCUCGUUGUCCUUCCUUUCCCUUUUGUCCUGUCUCGUUGACUCCCUGUCUCGCUUUACCGGCACCAUCUUUAUCUGGAGGAGGCAAGAUAUGUCUCUUUCUUCCUUCAGUCUUCUGCCUCAUUUCCCUUUUGCCCCCCCAACAUCCCCCCCUCCCCCUCUCACAUCUGCCGCCAUGUGUUGAGUCUUGAGGAGCAGUCCCAUUUUCAAUUUAGGCUGUAAGAUCCUCUUUCUAAACACACCGAGGGAACCGGAGAGUGGGUAAAGAGAUAUUGACACAGUGUAGAGUAGGAAUAGCCGACCGUGCUGUGGUAAGAUUCCCUGUAAAAGAGACACAUUCACUUGGUUUACAAAGUCCUCUCCAAAUGUUUCAUGCAAAAACAACUUAAUCUGGUGGGAUUACGUGUUGCGGUUGAGAGGAAAUUUAGGGUGGGAAGAGUGACUAUGUAAGAGCAGGAGAAUAAGGCAAAGUCAUUGUGAUUCUCUGCAGGUUACUUACCAGCCAAAGCAGAUUAUCAAUCCUACGGAUUUAGCGAUUCAUUUCCCCGCUCUCAGUAAAAGCCACGGCAAAGGGACGGUGACCCCUCUGCCCUCUCCCCUCUGCCAAGAGACACAAUGCAGAGAUCUGUAAAAUAUUACACAACUAUGCGUAUCUUGACAACAUGACUCUUUCAAAGCCCCCCCCCCCGUCACACUCCCUCUAUACACACACACACACACGUCGCAUCAAAAUUAAAUUAAUGAUUUCCUUCUAGCGUCACUGAACUAGCUGUUCUCAUUCAUCUAUCACUUUUUUUUAAAUGUAUUUAUUUCCCAUAUAUGAGAGAGUUGUGUGACCCACAAAGAGCCGUGGUCGGAUUUCUUAUUUCUAAUCUCAAAAACCCUCAAAAACUGUGAAAAAGCAGUUUGGCAGCCAAAUGGAGCAUUUCUUGGCAAGUUAAAACCCUCUUUCCCCUUUCAACGGUGUAUAUUUUCCUAUCUCUCUCGCACACUCACCUUAGAGCGGCCUCUGUUUUCAGUGCGCUGUGAACUGGGUCCAAGAACCACCAAGCGAGGCCCCCAGAGGAUGGCGUACCGGGAUUUAGAAGGUCGGAAGGCGUCUGGCACGGGCACUCGUCCAUGCAAAGUUUGCAUGGGCCACGUGAUGCCGAACGUCAGGGGGCACAGAGGACCAUUGUGACCCGGCGCCCACGUUCAGGGGCCCGGCUGAGAGGGACCAGAGACCAAAACACUGAAUGUCAUUGUUAUUUAGUGCCAACGACCUGCUCUGUGCCCUCUGCUAUGACGUCAUGGCAUUGGUGACGUUGGUCCAGCUGCUGCUAAGCACGCAUGUCUGCUCAGCGAGGCGGUUGAUGACAGCGUUGCGGGAGCUCGAGUUUUCACACUGACGUUCAUUUCACUUUGCAGCUGUAUUACUAUGUGCUCAAGCAAUCUUUCAGUAAUAAAGUUUUGGAUGCUCUCUUCUGUGCAAAGUGCGACUCAGUGGGGAGUCCACAUUUGUUUGCUCAUGACGAAGCGCAGAUGUGUAACAACUUUAGACAAACCGCCCAUUGUGUUUAACUCACCUUUUCUCCCCCUUGAUGAUAAGAAUGAAUCUAGGUCAAACUGGACUACUUCCCGUUGCAGGAAGGCUUGCGUUAACUUCUGACCCUAAAUGUACAUGUGACACCAAGUGGGGGGCUGUUUUACUUCUAACUACUGGAAUAACACCAGGGUCUUUUCUUUAUCAUAAGAGGGAGAAGUACUCGAGCCGGACUGAACAAUACAGGUUCGGUUUACUCAAGGAACAGAGAUCAUAUUGUGGUACAAAACGAUAAUUUAUUAGUACAUCAGUAAAAACAAACACCGUAAAACUAUUCUAAUUUGUCUGACAGCUUAUCACGGAACAAUCUGUGUACUUACCCGGGUCCCUAAACACGGUGAGGGUAGGGCGAGCGUCAGUGUGGAGGCAGCGAAUCCCCCAGUACAUUCAUGUAAUCACCCGUGCAACCUAUAAACAUGCAACCCCCCCCCCCCCCCCCCCCACACACACACACACACACACACACGGCAACUCACUCACGCAACGGCAAAACAAAGUGCAUUAAAAACAGUUCAUGCAAUAUCACGCCACAUGCUAAAAUCUGAUCAA